rnacentral:pre_miRNA from 1 species
ACGUUUCCGGGGCCUGGUAACUCCACCACCGUUGGCGAGAUUUGACUGCCAAUGGGAGUUGGAGUUUCCGCGUGCCGAACGU